rnacentral:rRNA from 1 species
GAUCAUGGCUCAGAUUGAACGCUGGCGGCGUGCUUAACACAUGCAAGUCGUACGCGAAAGGGACCUCGGUCUCGAGUAAAGUGGCGCACGGGUGAGUAACACGUGGAUAAUCUGCCUCUAUGAUGGGGAUAACAGUUGGAAACGACUGCUAAUACCGAAUACGCUCAUAAUGAACUUUAUGAGGAAAGGUGGCCUCUGCUUGCAAGCUAUCGCAUAGAGAUGAGUCCG